rnacentral:rRNA from 1 species
ACGAACGCUGGCGGCGUGCUUAACACAUGCAAGUCGAACGGUGAUCAGGAAGCUUGCUUUCUGUGAGCAGUGGCGAACGGGUGAGUAACACGUGAGUAACCUGCCCCAGACUCUGGAAUAAGCGCUGGAAACGGCGUCUAAUACCGGAUAUGACAUCAAGCCGCAUGGUUAUGGUGUGGAAAGUUUUUCGGUCUGGGAUGGACUCGCGGCCUAUCAGCUUGUUGGUGAGGUAAUGGCUUACCAAGGCGAUGACGGGUAGCCGGCCUGAGAGGGCGAUCGGCCACACUGGGACUGAGACACGGCCCAGACUCCUACGGGAGGCAGCAGUGGGGAAUAUUGCACAAUGGGCGCAAGCCUGAUGCAGCGACGCCGCGUGAGGGAUGACGGCCUUCGGGUUGUAAACCUCUUUCAGCAGGGAAGAAGCGAAAGUGACGGUACCUGCAGAAGAAGCACCGGCUAACUACGU